rnacentral:misc_RNA from 1 species
GCACAUCAACAGUGUCUUCUUGCACCAACAGCCUCCCUGGUUUAAGAUGAUCAUUGAUCACCUGCUGGAAGAGAGCAUCUAGCUUGAGGAAAACUUGUUCAAUCUUUGCAUGAUGACCCGUAAGCCACUAAGCCUGUGGAUAAUCCGACCAACAUAUGGAAAGUAUUUUCCAGCAGAGAAGUCUCCUGCAAUAGCAUCAGUUUCAUGAAUCUCCUUUCAAAAGCCACCCUAAAUCCAAUACGUGCAGUAAGAGUAUGUAGCUUUGUGUUAAGAUUAAUGGGAGUUGAUGAUGAUGACUGGGAGACGGAAUUCAAAAAGAAGUGACCUCUUCUUCUCUAAUGAGCAUAAAUGACUGAAUUCUCUUCAAGAUGAAAAACUCGA